UACGGCCGCAUCACGCUGAAACACCGGUUCCCGUACGUUCACCGAAGUUAAGCAACAUCGAGCUUAAUCAGUACAUAGAUGGGUGACCGAUUGGGAAUAUCAGGUGCU